rnacentral:rRNA from 1 species
UUUAAAUUGAGAGUUUGAUCCUGGCUCAGGACGAACGCUGGCGGCGUGCCUAACACAUGCAAGUCGAGCGAUGAAACUUCCUUCGGGGAGUGGAUUAGCGGCGGACGGGUGAGUAACACGUGGGUAACCUGCCUCAAAGAGGGGGAUAGCCUCCCGAAAGGGAGAUUAAUACCGCAUAACAUUAUUUUACGGCAUCAUAGAAUAAUCAAAGGAGCAAUCCGCUUUGAGAUGGACCCGCGGCGCAUUAGCUAGUUGGUGAGGUAAGGGCUCACCAAGGCGACGAUGCGUAGCCGACCUGAGAGGGUGAUCGGCCACAUUGGAACUGAGACACGGUCCAGACUCCUACGGGAGGCAGCAGUGGGGAAUAUUGCGCAAUGGGGGAAACCCUGACGCAGCAACGCCGCGUGAGUGAUGAAGGUUUUCGGAUCGUAAAACUCUGUCUUUAGGGACGAUAAUGACGGUACCUAAGGAGGAAGCCACGGCUAACUACGUGCCAGCAGCCGCGGUAAUACGUAGGUGGCAAGCGUUGUCCGGAUUUACUGGGCGUAAAGAGUAUGUAGGUGGGUGCUUAAGUCAGAUGUGAAAUUCCCGGGCUUAACCUGGGCGCUGCAUUUGAAACUGGGCAUCUAGAGUGCAGGAGAGGAAAGUGGAAUUCCUAGUGUAGCGGUGAAAUGCGUAGAGAUUAGGAAGAACACCAGUGGC